AGCACCUGAGGGGAGGGCGGGAGUGAACAAACAGCUUGUGACCCUUGUGCUCACCAACCCAAUGGAACGGCUCAUCACCAGCAUUUCAAAAACAAGACAGAACGCCAACGUCACAGAGCCUCACAUGACAUGUCUAUUAUAAGAGAAAAUGCUGUUUUCCUUGAAGAGCUCUCGUGAGGAAUGGAGAGUGGAGACAGCUGCGAGGCCUUGAAUCACCAGUGGAAGCUCAAGGAGGCCUGGGCUGAGCUGGCACAGAAACCCACCCAAACCAGCGGCUUAAAUAAGGUUCCCCACCUCUGCAGCAGCAGGUCAUGGACUGCUGCCUGGAGUCAUUGAUCCAGUUCACCGUGGGACAUACAGGGGACGGGGAGAAUGAUGGAGACGCGUUGCUCUUCAUCUCUGCCAGCUUGGGACUGGUGCUCCCGUGUGCUUGUAGGGCCACGAGUGCAGAAGACGGGCUUCAUGGGGGAUUCUGCUUCCGGUGCUCUCUACAUGGAGGCAAGAAGCUGGCAGAAAGAGGACUUGGGAUUCCAGGGACUCAAGUUCUUCUGUCUGAAUACGAUCUAGACUCUUCUAUGUAUGUUUGAUAGCAUGAAGUUUACUUGGGGAAAGCAAUGAAUUGCCCUACUUUAUGUUUCCUUAAUAUGGGUCUUCUUGCCCGGCCUGUGGCUCAGUGGCUGAGCGUCA